AACUAUGACUCACCUUUUGAGGGUCAUGAAAGCGGCGCGAAAGUGUUAGCUAGUGAUCCGAAAAAUAAAUUCGGGUUGCGACACUGUCAAAUUGCGGGGAGUCCCUAAAGAUUCAACUACUAAGCAGCUUGUGGAAACACAGUUGUGGCCGAGUUAAUAGCCCUGGGUAUAGUAACAAUGUUGAAUAUGACUCUUAAUUGAGGAAAUGGGUGAUCCGCAGCCAAAUCCUAAGGACAUUUUAUUGUCUAUGGAUGCAGUUCAGCGACUAGACGGCAGUGGGUAUUGUAGAGAUAUGGGGUUAUUUAUGGCCUUAUCUACAAUGCUUAAGGUAUAGUCUAAUCUCUUUCGAAAGAAAGAGUAGUGUGCUCUUAAGGU
rnacentral:ncRNA from 14 species